rnacentral:rRNA from 1 species
GAUGAACGCUAGCUACAGGCUUAACACAUGCAAGUUCGAGGGGCAGCAUCUCAGUUUGCUUGCAAACUGGAGAUCGGCGACCGGCGCACGGGCGAGUAACACGUAUCCAACCUGCCGAUAACUCGGGGAUAGCCUUUCGAAAGAAAGAUUAAUACCUGAUGGUAUAAUCAGACCGCAUGGUCUUGUUAUUAAAGAAUUUCGGUUAUCGAUGGGGAUGCGUUCCAUUAGGCAGUUGGUGAGGUAACGGCUCACCAAACCUUCGAUGGAUAGGGGUUCUGAGAGGAAGGUCCCCCACAUUGGAACUGAGACACGGUCCAAACUCCUACGGGAGGCAGCAGUGAGGAAUAUUGGUCAAUGGGCGCAGGCCUGAACCAGCCAAGUAGCGUGAAGGAUGACUGCCCUAUGGGUUGUAAACUUCUUUUAUAUGGGAAUAAAGUUUUCCACGUGUGGAAUUUUGUAUGUACCAUAUGAAUAAGGAUCGGCUAACUCCGUGCCAGCAGCCGCGGUAAUACGGAGGAUCCGAGCGUUAUCCGGAUUUAUUGGGUUUAAAGGGAGCGUAGGUGGACAGUUAAGUCAGUUGUGAAAGUUUGCGGCUCAACCGUAAAAUUGCAGUUGAUACUGGCUGUCUUGAGUACAGUAGAGGUGGGCGGAAUUCGUGGUGUAGCGGUGAAAUGCUUAGAUAUCACGAAGAACUCCGAUUGCGAAGGCAGCUCACUGGACUGCAACUGACACUGAUGCUCGAAAGUGUGGGUAUCAAACAGGAUUAGAUACCCUGGUAGUCCACACAGUAAACGAUGAAUACUCGCUGUUUGCGAUAUACAGUAAGCGGCCAAGCGAAAGCAUUAAGUAUUCCACCUGGGGAGUACGCCGGCAACGGUGAAACUCAAAGGAAUUGACGGGGGCCCGCACAAGCGGAGGAACAUGUGGUUUAAUUCGAUGAUACGCGAGGAACCUUACCCGGGCUUAAAUUGCAUUUGAAUAUAUUGGAAACAGUAUAGCCGUAAGGCAAAUGUGAAGGUGCUGCAUGGUUGUCGUCAGCUCGUGCCGUGAGGUGUCGGCUUAAGUGCCAUAACGAGCGCAACCCUUAUCUUUAGUUACUAACAGGUCAUGCUGAGGACUCUAGAGAGACUGCCGUCGUAAGAUGUGAGGAAGGUGGGGAUGACGUCAAAUCAGCACGGCCCUUACGUCCGGGGCUACACACGUGUUACAAUGGGGGGUACAGAAGGCAGCUACCUGGUGACAGGAUGCUAAUCCCAAAAGCCUCUCUCAGUUCGGAUCGAAGUCUGCAACCCGACUUCGUGAAGCUGGAUUCGCUAGUAAUCGCGCAUCAGCCAUGGCGCGGUGAAUACGUUCCCGGGCCU